GUGCCAGCAGCCGCGGUAAGACAGAGGGUGCAAACGUUGCUCGGAAUUACUGGGCGUAAAGCGCGUGUAGGUGGUCACCCCAGUCGGAUGUGAAAGCCCAGGGCUCAACCCUGGACGUGCAUACGAUACUAGGUGGCUGGAGUCUCGGAGAGGAUAGCGGAAUUCCCGGUGUAGAGGUGAAAUUCGUAGAUAUCGGGAGGAACACCAGUGGCGAAGGCGGCUAUCUGGACGAGUACUGACACUGAGACGCGAAAGCAUGGGGAGCAAACAGGAUUAGAUACCCCAGUAGUCC
rnacentral:rRNA from 1 species